GGGGUUUUGGGGCACAGCCGGCGGGGCCUUGGGCGUGCGGGGCAGUCCCGGCGCUGCCGUGGGGAGCCCUGUUUCUUCACGGCAGCGUCGCUUUCACGUCGAGAGAGGUUCUCCUUCCCCUCUACUCCGCCCUGCAGACAUGGGGAGGAUGUGCAACGGUGAUGGAGUUGUUGCCAGGAAAAAGUGCUCUGAGGAGCUCUUAAUAAUUCCCUUCCAACACAGCUCAGCUUCUCUUCUUCUGACACUGCGUAUCCCUUGCAGUUCCUCUAUAAAUCUCAGACUUCUCCAGAAAAUCAGAGGACGACAUGUGCAGUGACUUGACUUGUAAGGUGAUUACGGGCAUUGGGCAUGGAAGAAAUACAGGUUUUGAAGAAAAAGAGAAGAGUUGAGGAGGAUUUGGCUGAGAGAUCCUGGAUGAUUGUUCCAGAUAGAUAUAAAUUACACAUGGUAUUGUCUUCUUUGCACUUAAUUUUUAAUUAUGUUGUGGACAGUACACAAAUGGAAAGAAGAGC